rnacentral:lncRNA from 1 species
GCGUGAUUGAGGUAGGAUCUGUUUUUUUCCUUUCAAAAUUAUGUUUUUAUUUACACUAGGACGUUUGAUUUAGCUAAGGUCCUUAGUAAACCAUAAAAAAUUUUUGUUAUUUUAUAUUUUAAAAAAUGAAUGAAUUGUUUAUACUCAUAUACCUUCACUUAUGUCCCCUUAGUUAUAUGUGGGAAGACAUAUUAAAUAUGUCCAGCAGGUGCUGAUCCAGCCAUUUAUAAAAGGGGGGUUGAUAACCAAGGAUAAUGGGGGAGGGAGGGUUGGGGUGUCCAAAAAUAUGUCCCCAUUCAAGUGCAUUGGGUUUUUUUUUCAAAAGGGGG